rnacentral:rRNA from 1 species
CGUGCACGCUGGCGGUAGGCCUAACACAUGCAAGUCGAACGGCAGCACAGUAAGAGCUUGCUCUUACGGGUGGCGAGUGGCGGACGGGUGAGGAAUACAUCGGAAUCUACUUUUUCGUGGGGGAUAACGUAGGGAAACUUACGCUAAUACCGCAUACGACCUACGGGUGAAAGCAGGGGAUCUUCGGACCUUGCGCGAUUGAAUGAGCCGAUGUCGGAUUAGCUAGUUGGCGGGGUAAAGGCCCACCAAGGCGACGAUCCGUAGCUGGUCUGAGAGGAUGAUCAGCCACACUGGAACUGAGACACGGUCCAGACUCCUACGGGAGGCAGCAGUGGGGAAUAUUGGACAAUGGGCGCAAGCCUGAUCCAGCCAUACCGCGUGGGUGAAGAAGGCCUUCGGGUUGUAAAGCCCUUAUGUUGUGAAAGAAAAGCAGCAGGUUAAUACCCCGCUGUUCUGACGGUACCCAAAGAAUAAGCACCGGCUAACUUCGUG